rnacentral:rRNA from 1 species
CUACGGGCUGCUGCAGUGGGGAAUAUUGCACAAUGGGCGCAAGCCUGAUGCAGCCAUGCCGCGUGUAUGAAGAAGGCCUUCGGGUUGUAAAGUACUUUCAGCGGGGAGGAAGGGGGUAAAGUUAAUACCUUUGCUCAUUGACGUUACCCGCAGAAGAAGCACCGGCUAACUCCGUGCCAGCAGCCGCGGUAAUACGGAGGGUGCAAGCGUUAAUCGGAAUUACUGGGCGUAAAGCGCACGCAGGCGGUUUGUUAAGUCAGAUGUGAAAUCCCCGGGCUCAACCUGGGAACUGCAUCUGAUACCGGCAAGCUUGAGUCUCGUAGAGGGGGGUAGAAUUCCAGGUGUAGCGGUGAAAUGCGUAGAGAUCUGGAGGAAUACCGGUGGCGAAGGCGGCCCCCUGGACGAAGACUGACGCUCAGGUGCGAAAGCGUGGGGAGCAAACAGGAUUAGAUACCCCGGUAGUC